rnacentral:rRNA from 1 species
GAUGAACGCUGGCGGCGUGCCUAAUACAUGCAAGUCGAGCGAACAGACGAGGAGCUUGCUCCUCUGACGUUAGCGGCGGACGGGUGAGUAGCACGUGGAUAACCUACCUAUAAGACUGGGAUAACUUCGGGAAACCGGAGCUAAUACCGGAUAAUAUAUUGAACCGCAUGGUUCAAUAGUGAAAGACGGUUUUGCUGUCACUUAUAGAUGGAUCCGCGCCGCAUUAGCUAGUUGGUAAGGUAACGGCUUACCAAGGCAACGAUGCGUAGCCGACCUGAGAGGGUGAUCGGCCACACUGGAACUGAGACACGGUCCAGACUCCUACGGGAGGCAGCAGUAGGGAAUCUUCCGCAAUGGGCGAAAGCCUAACGGAGCAACGCCGCGUGAGUGAUGAAGGUCUUCGGAUCGUAAAACUCUGUUAUUAGGGAAGAACAAAUGUGUAAGUAACUAUGCACGUCUUGACGGUACCUAAUCAGAAAGCCACGGCUAACUACGUG